rnacentral:tRNA from 2 species
GGCCCCGUAGUGUAGUGGUUAUCACUCAAGAUUCUGAUUCUUGUAACCCAGGUUCGAAUCCUGGCGAGGCCU